rnacentral:rRNA from 1 species
CUGCAGCCCGAGUGGUGAUCGAUUUUAUUGAGCCUAAAGCGUCCGUAGCCGGACUAGUAAACCCUUGGGUACAUUGGGCAGCUUAACUGUCCAAAUUCCGAGGGGACUGCUAGUCUUGGGACCGGGAGAGGUCAGAGGUACUCAAGGGGUAGGGGCUAAAUCCUGUAAUCCUUUGGGGACCACCAGUGGCGAAGGCGUCUGACUAGAACGGAUCCGACGGUAAGGGACGAAACCCUGGGGCGCGAACCGGAUUAGAUACCCGAGUAGUCC